rnacentral:tRNA from 1 species
CUCGUAGCUUAGUGAUCAAAGCGAUAACGCAUAAAGCCAAAGGUCCCGGGUUCGACUCCCGGCGAG